rnacentral:tRNA from 1 species
GCAUCGGUAGUUCAAUGGUAGAAUUCUUGCCUUCCAUGCAAGAAACCCAAGUUAGCUUCCUGGCCGAUGUA